UACGUAGGGGGCGAGCGUUGUCCGAAUUUACUGGGCGUAAAGCGCGCGUAGGCGGACUCUUAAGUUGGGGGUGAAAUCCCGGGGCUCAACCCCGGAACUGCCUUCAAAACUGGGAGUCUUGAGGUAUGGAGAGGGAAGUGGAAUUCCUGGUGUAGCGGUGAAAUGCGUAGAUAUCAGGAGGAACACCCGUGGCGAAGGCGGCUUCCUGGCCAUAUCCUGACGCUGAGGUGCGAAAGCUAGGGGAGCGAACGGGAUUAGAUACC
rnacentral:rRNA from 1 species